rnacentral:lncRNA from 1 species
CAAACCCUGACUCAGCUGCUGCAGGUGGCGCCUCCUGGAGCUUGCUGGAAGAUUCCCUCCUUCCUUUGGUGCAUCAACCCAUAAGACUGACUCCAGAUGUGGAAUUGGAGCAGGAUCCCAGAGGGCCCCUGCUGUGACACAUGUCCUAGCCAAUUUCCAAAAUGAAUCAGCAAUUUAGCAUCUGCCUGACUCCAUGUGGAACUAAGAAGCCAGCAUUCCAGGAUCCCAAGAUGUGCUUCUUGAUAGACAAGCCCUCGAUGUUGAUCUGGAUGAUAUCAGCGGCCUCAGUUGGUUCCAAAUUUUAUC